rnacentral:rRNA from 1 species
AUGUUGGGGUUGGAGGGAGCCCCUCCGGUGCAUGCCCUGACGACCAAGAAAACAUGCGACCCGUCUGGCAUGACCUUCGCUACUGGUGGUGCAGGUGUGUUGUAUAGUACAUCGCACGAGGUCCCCGCCCUCGCCAAACAGGUCGACACCUUCAGGAAGAUGGUCAAGGACGGGACCAUCACAGAGAAACAACCGAGUCACUCCGUAGCGCUCGUGGCUUUCUCUGGCAACGACUAUGCAGGCACCGGCGUCAUUGGCCUAAGUAGCCCCAAUGAUAUUAAUGCUUAUAUUGGGAAGGUGACAAAAGAGAUUGCGGCUAAUGUGGAUCAAUUGUUGAAGCUCGGUGUGACAAAGGUUCUUGUCAAUAACUUGCACCCUAUCGGUUGCACGCCAUCACACACCCGAACCAACAACUACACCACGUGUGAUAUUUUUGAAAACUUGGGUGCAUCAAUCCAUAACGAUAAUCUGAAACAAGUUAUGACAUCAAAGAAGAAUGUCUACAUCGUGGACGUAUACACCGCCUUUACCAAUAUUGUGGAUCAUGCGGCAGGUAAAGGCUCAGAGCUGUCUAAACAAUUCAAGCACAAACUAUCGCCGUGCUGCGAGAGUUUGGAUUCGGAUGGUUAUUGCGGACAGCAAGGCGAAUCAUCCGCAGAGCUUUUGUACGCUGUGUGCGACAAUUCAAAUAGAUUUUUCUAUUGGGAUGACAUGCACCCGACCCAUGCACGAUGGGAGGCUGUCAUGAAACAGUUGGAAAAACCCUUGAGGGAGUUUGUAAAUCAAGCCUAG